rnacentral:rRNA from 1 species
UACGGAGGGUGCGAGCGUUGUCCGGAAUCAUUGGGCGUAAAGGGCGCGUAGGUGGCCCGGUCAGUCCGUGGUGAAAGCGCGGGGCUCAACCCCGCGUCGGCCAUGGAUACUGCUGGGCUGGAGCACUGUAGAGGCAGGCGGAAUUCCGGGUGUAGCGGUGGAAUGCGUAGAGAUCCGGAAGAACACCGGUGGCGAAGGCGGCCUGCUGGGCAGUUGCUGACACUGAGGCGCGACAGCGUGGGGGGCAAACAGG